rnacentral:lncRNA from 1 species
GCAGUCAGGACUUAGCUUCCCAGCUGUGAUCUAAAUCCCAGCCUCCCAAAGGCACAGCGCCUAAGUUCUCCCCUGCCAAGCUCACAGCCUUCUCCUUGGCAGGCUGCCCUUUCUCCUGCUGGACCAAACCAAGGAGCACGGUGACCCAGGGACACCACACUCGGUGUCAGCCUCUGAGGCCAUGGAGCCACGCAGACCCAGCACAGGAUUAGAAACAGACCUUCCCGGGAGGCAGAGAGCCAGGCCUCCUGGUUUAUAGCAUGACAAGGCAGCACUCAGGAGGACGCAUCAAUCCUUCUCCAUGUCAGCACCUGUGACUGUGACCACUGGUGAGGUGGACAUGCUUCUUUUUCCAUUUUACAGAUGAGGAAACUGAGGCCAAGGGAGGGUCAGCAGCCUGCCCUGGGCUGACUGGUGAUGCAGCGAGGGUGGGGUGUGGGAGGGUGGCGGCGGCCCUUGCAGUCCCUGGGAACCUGCACCUCUUCCUGGGCGCUGUUCCCCUCUCUCUCCCAGGACCCUUGGGCCUGGCGUUUCUUCACCUGCGACCAUCCAGGAGCUGGACCUGCCCUAGGGCGUCAGUUUCCAGGGAAGCCUCUGGCCUGUGUGUGAGCCUCCCCACCUGCCCGGCCACGGCCUCCACAGGCGCCCUGCGCAGCCCCGCCCCUCCUGGGGCAAAGGCUUUGCGAAGACUUUCUUCUCUGGCUCAUCCCUUUAAGGAGGCAUAAAAACGAACCCCGGGCCUCACAGGUCCGGAAUGCGCCCCCCUCCACGAUGGGAGCUUCUUGGCCUUGGCUGUGCAGGGGCCGCGGCUCCUGGGGGUCUGGCCGGAUCUGCAGUAGUGCUGAAUGAGCUGUGGCCAGGAAGACGCAAUGAAUAAUUGUCACUUAAAAGGAUAAACAGAAAUUCCAUUUCCCUUUUAAAUACUUGAACAUUUCAAAACAUCUGGAGGACGCGAUGCUUUUCCUUCCAAGCAUCUCCGUGGAGUUUUGUGGGUUACCGCAGAGGAUCGGCAGCAUUCCUCUCUCAGGGAAAACUGGCCUGAGCAUUGCAUAACGCAGGCAGACUGCACCCCUCACGUCGCCUGGGGCCACAUGCACAUGUUUCCAAGAGACUUGCUGGAGAAUCUUCCCCGGAUCUUGACAAAGUUGGACAUGGAAAGCACGUUGGUCCAUCCAAGGUCCACAGAGCGACCCUGGCUAUGAAAAAUCAUCCUCCGAGUGGGAGUCUGUCUGCCAGGAGUGAGGUGACACCGCACAUGGCCUCAGGAGCUGGAAACGCUGGUGAAUUCAGAUGCAGCCAAAGCUUCUAACUUAGUCACAGUUAUUAAUUAUUCUUGGUCUUAUUGGAGCAGGAACCACUGCCAUGCAUCAGGCCAGCAAGGCUCACUCCCCACCGUAGGAUCCCUGUGUAGACGGUCGCUCCAUCAGUGUAGUUGGGUGUGUGGAGCAAGGGACUGGGCUGACCCUACCUUCCAAGCAUCGAUGUGGCCUUCAGCAGAGCAGGAGGAGAUAGCCCAGGACUUGUACUUUGCAGUUGAAGUGCCAGACCUAAGAAAUGCAAACCUGAGGAUGGAAAGAGGGUGGAGAGGGGGGAGGUGUCUGGAUUGGCCGUCCAGAGCAGCCCCAGCUGCAGCAAGUGGAACUUGGCUGGCUGCCUCACAGGCCUGGUGGCAGCGUCCCCAGCGAGGAGCCUGUCCCACAUAUGAAGGUCCCCAUACCCUUAGCCCCUAGCUGAGAGUUUCACUGACCAGAGCUCCCUGAGUCCAGGGCUCCACUCAAGGGACUGCUGUCCCCGUUGGUGAAGAAGGCCUGUUGGGGCCAAUGCUUCCCCCCACAGGGAAGCGGAGCUGUAUUUUGUCGGACAGAACUUUGCAAGCCUGAAACAGCUGGUGGUGGCCCCAGAGCCAAGAUCUGACCUCACUCCAGAGUUGAAGGGCACAGAGAAGGCACAGCUAGAGGCGGCAGGUACCCCUCAAAGCUCUCGGGAGAGGGUACAAAGUGGGACCUCCCAGCACCCUUGGCCUCCAGGCCUCAAAAGCCCUGAGAGGGCUGCAUGCAAGGAGACAAAGCUGGAGAAGGAUGUGGGAGGCAGGUGGCUAAGAAGACAGGCUGGAAAGGGACGUGGGAGGUAGGUGGCUUUGCUCUAAACAGAAUCGUCUCAGUAAUGUGACACUGCACAUGUAUAGGUAGGCUCGCUCAUGGGCAUAACCCUCUAAAACACACCUUUUAUGGAGUGAAAUUCACUUAACAGCCAUCUUGAAGCAUAUACUUCGGCGGCAUUUGCUGGAUUCACGACGUUGUGCAACCUCUGCUUCUCCAGUUUCAGAACAUUUCAUCCCUCCAGAACAACAGCUCAUCCCCAUUAAGUAAUCACUCCUCAUUCCUUCCCCAUCCUCUGGAAACCACAGAUCUGCUUUCUGUCUCUAUGGAUUUGUCCGUUUUGGAUAUUUCAUAUAAAAGGAAUCACGCGGUGUGCGAAAAAAAAAAAAAAAAAA